ensembl:lncRNA
ACUGCUUACGAAGGCACAGGGAAUCCUCUUGAGGAGGUCUUAAAAGCCCAGGCUGGAAGGUGAGCUUGGCAGCCUUCCACGCUCUGAAGAGCUGGCAGUGGAGAACGAGAAGGAACCUCAACCUCCCAGUUUCAGCACCAAAAAAUGUAGGCUAAGGGAGUUAGAGAAGGCGAGGUUCCGAAAAAGAACAAGACCGGCACUUUACAGGAACCGAUCACCUUUAAUGAGGCGAGAGUGUGCACCAGUCAGAUUAGUGAGCUGCUACACUAACCCAAGAAAAGAAUAAGUAUAUGUCAUCUCCCAAGAUGAGACCCAUGUCCCCCUGCGUUAUUGACAAGCAACUCAUAUGAGUCACCCUGAAUCUGAGCUGACGGCCUGAUUUAACAAGGAGAAUAUUAUGACCUUACCCUCCGAGCGAAGGUCACACUCGUCCAGAGCCUGGUCCUGAGCCGUGGUUUGGGCACCGGACACCCCCGCCCCCCGGGCUGGAAGUUCCUCCUUGGCCUCCCUUUCCCCAUCUCCUCCACCAGCACCCUGUGCUCUGGUCUCUGGGCCUGUCUGCCUGCCGUGGUUUACAAGCCCCGCGAGAGACACAGUCACGUCUGUCUGUGUCUGGGCUGUCUCACUCACCUGAGGCCUCUGGGCCCGCACGCCGUCCCAACGGCUGCACAUCCUCCUCCCUGGCUGAGCAGCGUCCCGUUGUGCGUGUGUGAACACCCUGCGUCUGCGCUGGCCCACCCCUCACGGACACCUGGGCCUGCGGCCAUGGGUGCUGUGGACGAAGCUGAGACAACCGCGGACAUGUGGACACCGGGCUGAGUCUGUGUUGCCAUUCAGGGUUUGCCCAGACCCGACAGCGUCCCUAAUGGGAUAGUGUCAGUCAGCAAGAGACUCCGGCUGACUCCAAACCAGACCCUCAGACACCUGCUUUUCACGGAGGCAGUUGUGUACAGUCCUGUGGACCUCAAGCCUCAGACCCUGCGGCCACCACAGCCAGGACCUGCGCCCGGUGGCAGUCAAAACUGGGGCCAUACAGGUGAAUCCAGGGCCACAGCUGUAAGCCGGGGCCACUGACGUAAUGUUCCUCAAGUCUGAAAAAACAUGUGCAACAAGAUAGCACUUUUAUAUUAGUGACAUGUUAGAAAUAACUGGGCUUCCCUGGUGGCUCAGUGGUAAAGAAUCUGUCUGCAAUGCCGGAGCCCCACGUUCUGUUCCUUAGUGGAGAAGAUCCCCUGGAGAAGGAAAUGACUAUCCAACCC